UGAGAUAUAACUCAGUUGGUAGAGUACCUGACUGUUAAUCAGGUUGUCACAGGUUCGAGCCCUGUUAUCUCAG
rnacentral:tRNA from 1 species